GAUGAACGCUGGCGGCGUGCCUAAUACAUGCAAGUCGAGCGGUAAGGCCUCUUCGGAGGUACACGAGCGGCGGACGGCUGAGUAACACGUAGGAGCAUACCCCAAAGUGAGGGAUAACUGCUCGAAAGAGUAGCUAAUACCGCAUGUGGUCUUCGGAUUAAAGCUUCGGCGCUUUGGGAAUGGCCUGCGUCUGAUUAGCUAGAUGGUGAGGUAAUGGCUCACCAUGGCGACGAUCAGUAGCUGGUCUGAGAGGAUGAUCAGCCAGACUGGGACUGAGACACGGCCCAGACUCCUACGGGAGGCAGCAGUAGGGAAUUCUCCACAAUGGGCGAAAGCCUGAUGGAGCAACGCCGCGUGCAGGAUGAAUGCCUUCGGGUUGUAAACUGCUUUUAUAUGUGACGAAUAUGACGGUAGCAUAUGAAUAAGGAUCGGCUAACUCCGUGCCAGCAGCCGCCGUAA
rnacentral:rRNA from 1 species